rnacentral:rRNA from 1 species
CACGAAGGUGGCAAGCGUUGUUCGGAUUCACUGGGCGUACAGGGUGUGUAGGCGGUUUGGUAAGCCUUCUGUUAAAGCUUCGGGCCCAACCCGGAAAGCGCAGAGGGUACUGCCAGGCUAGAGGACGGGAGAGGAGCGCGGAAUUCCCGGUGUAGCGGUGAAAUGCGUAGAGAUCGGGAGGAAGGCCGGUGGCGAAGGCGGCGCUCUGGAACGUUACUGACGCUGAGACACGAAAGCGUGGGGAGCAAACAGG